AACCUAAAAAAAAAACAGCGAGGGCGUGGGGGGUUGGUGGGAUCCGCUGGAUCUGUUGUCAGGGAAGGAAGAAAUUGCCAUCCGCCGGCAGAGGUAGCACAUCUGGGCAGGCACACCUGGGCAUGCAACAUCGUUUCCCGCCGCCUGCCUCCGUCCUCCAUCCGGCCGAGAGGAUCCCUUCGGGGUGCGGGGAGGUUUCUGCUCGUCGUCCCCGGGGUCCAUCUUUCGGACUGAAUAUUAAAACUGGCAGCGUGGGGGGAGGGGUGGGCUGGAAAUAAAGGCUGCUUUUUUCCCCCCUGGGAUCUAUUUCAUGGGGAUGUGCUCAAGACAAGAGAGGAUUCAGAAGGAUAUUGACGUUGUGAUCGAAAAGUGCAAGGCGGAGAAGGACUGCCUGUUUGCAGAUUUCAGGUACUCAGACUCCACCUUUACCUUCACCUAUAUUGGAGGCUCCAAAAGGAUCAGUAAAACAUCUGCAUUCACACAAACUUAAACUGAGGAGGAAGUGUAGAAGGAGGUGAUUGGAAAGGUGAUCCUAGCUGUCAGAGACUCCUUCGUCUGAGUGCUACUCCAUGGCACUUUGCUGUUCCUAUUUUUAAAUUUGUGUGUAUACAUAGAAUUUCUGCCAUAAACUUAACUGAAACAUAGUAACGGCAUCAACAUGAAGUUAAUUCAUCCUAAAAAAUGAAAAAAGUUAUGAUUUUAAUAAAAAACAGGGCAAAUUUCACAUCAGCAGCUCAUUCUCUUGCAUUUAAGAGGUACUUUUGUUCUCAUGACAGAUACAAGACUGUAUGCAAUUGACCGAAUUAAGCUACUGAGAUGUUAAGUGAAAUGUUAGUAUAGCUUAUAAAGUUAUAAAAUUGUUUUACUGAAUGUUAGCUUAAAUAUUAUUUCUAAAUGGAUCUGAGUUUUUGGUUAUAAACUGGAUUGUGCAUGUAUACUUUUUAUUUUUUUAAUCUUUCACCAUUUGUUGUGUUUGUCUGCUUUCAAAAAGAAAUAUUAGUCGAAUAGUCAAAAGCUCAUAUUAGUUGAACACAGAGCCUUUUUGCUUCCCUGGCUCUUAGUUACCCUUUACUUGAUAGGGUAUUUACAGUAUAUGCUAGGUCCUCAUCUUAUCUUUUAGCUGAAUUUUAUUAGACUUGGCAAGAUGUCUAGUUUUUUUUUUUUUUUUUUUUUUUUUCUCAGUUUAUCUUUGGUGAUUGUUUUUUCUUCCCAGGAUAUGUCAGGUUUAAGUACUGUGUUCUGGAGUCUGCUCUUUGCAAUUGAACUCAGUGCAGGAGGUGUUCCCACAGCCAUUGGUUCUGGUCUGUGCACACUUCAGGGUCUGGCUG